AUUGAACGCUGGCAGCAGGCCUAACACAUGCAAGUCGAGCGGAUGAAGGGAGCUUGCUCCUGGAUUCAGCGGCGGACGGGUGAGUAAUGCCUAGGAAUCUGCCUGGUAGUGGGGGAUAACGUCCGGAAACGGGCGCUAAUACCGCAUACGUCCUGAGGGAGAAAGUGGGGGAUCUUCGGACCUCACGCUAUCAGAUGAGCCUAGGUCGGAUUAGCUAGUUGGUGGGGUAAAGGCCUACCAAGGCGACGAUCCGUAACUGGUCUGAGAGGAUGAUCAGUCACACUGGAACUGAGACACGGUCCAGACUCCUACGGGAGGCAGCAGUGGGGAAUAUUGGACAAUGGGCGAAAGCCUGAUCCAGCCAUGCCGCGUGUGUGAAGAAGGUCUUCGGAUUGUAAAGCACUUUAAGUUGGGAGGAAGGGCAGUAAGUUAAUACCUUGCUGUUUUGACGUUACCAACAGAAUAAGCACCGGCUAACUUCGU
rnacentral:rRNA from 1 species